rnacentral:rRNA from 1 species
UACGAAGGGAGCGAGCGUUGUUCGGAAUCACUGGGCUUAAAGCGUACGUAGGCGGAUUUACAAGUCAGGAGUGAAAUCCCAGGGCUUAACCCUGGAAUUGCUUUUGAAACUGUAAGUCUGGAAUCCGGUAGAGGUUGGCGGAACUCCGAGUGUAGAGGUGAAAUUCGCAGAUAUUCGGAAGAACACCAGUGGCGAAGGCGGCCAACUGGACCGGUAUUGACGCUGAGGUACGAAAGCGUGGGUAGCAAACAGG